rnacentral:rRNA from 1 species
GAAUUUUAUAUAAAUUUGAUAAUAAUUAUUUAAUAUAAGAUUUGUUGAGUUUAUAUUUUAUUGGGAGGAUAUUUAAAUUUAAUAAACUUUAAAAGUAAAAAGUCAUUAAUUUAUGAAGUAGAGGAUUUAAGAAUGAUAAAGAAAUUUAAAUAGAAUUAAUUACCUUAGGGAUAACAGCGUUAUAUUUUUAGAGAGAUCUUAUUAAUAAAAAUGGUUGC